AGAUGGCGACCGGCGCACGGGUGAGUAACACGUAUCCAACCUGCCGAUAACUCGGGGAUAGCCUUUCGAAAGAAAGAUUAAUACCCGAUGGUAUAAUCAGACCGCAUGGUCUUGUUAUUAAAGAAUUUCGGUUAUCGAUGGGGAUGCGUUCCAUUAGGCAGUUGGUGAGGUAACGGCUCACCAAACCUUCGAUGGAUAGGGGUUCUGAGAGGAAGGUCCCCCGCAUUGGAACUGAGACACGGUCCAA
rnacentral:rRNA from 1 species